rnacentral:rRNA from 1 species
UACGAGAGGUGCGAGCGUUAUUCGGAAUUAUUGGGCGUAAAGGGUGCGCAGACGGUUUGUUAAGUCAAUUGUUUAAUUCCUCGGCCUAACUGAGGUUCAGCGGUAGAAACUGAUAAACUAGAGUAUGAGAGAGAGGAGCGGAAUUCUCGGAGUAGCGGUAAAAUGCGUAGAUCUCGAGAGGAACACCGAUGGCGAAGGCAGCUCCUUGGCUCAUUACUGACGUUCAUGCACGAAAGCGUGGGGAGCAAACAGG